rnacentral:rRNA from 1 species
GUCUUUUAAUUGAAGACUUGUAUGAAUGAUUUGAUGAAAUAUAAACUGUCUCUUUAUUAAAAAUAGAAUUUAAUUUUUUAGUUAAAAAGCUAAAAUUUAUUUAAAAGACGAGAAGACCCUAUAGAGUUUUAUAUUUAAAAUUAUAUUAAUUUUGUAUAAAAUUUUUAUUUAAUAUUUUUUUAAGUAUUUUAUUGGGGUGAUAGAAAAAUUUAAUAAACUUUUUUUAAAAAUUUUACAUUAAUAUAUGAAAUUUUGAUCCAUAAUUUAUGAUUAAAAGAUUAAAUUACCUUAGGGAUAACAGCGUAAUUUUUUUUUUUAGUUCUUAUAAAAAAAAAAGUUUGCGACCUCGAUGUUGGAUUAAG